CGAGCCCCUGCAUUAAACUGGUUUGGGCAAAAGGACAGGCAUCGCUGAGAUCCGCAAGGCCGCCGGCCAGCGGCGGGGUCCCCUGUAGGCAGAGCCCUGGGUCACACGCGGACGCGGUCCCGGCGUUUCUUCUCAGGCCCUCAGCCCGGCCCACUUCCUCUUUCCUCACUUUAGAGGGAAUACAGCGAUCCCUCUCAAAACAAAACACACACCAAAACACCAUUUUUUUUUUUUUUUUUAAACAGGAAGUCCAGAGGCCCGGGUCCAGGGCAUCCAGCGCCGGAUCUCGAACGCCCUCCUCGCCCCUCGCCCCGCGUCGCCCGGCUCCGCUCCCCGCCCCGCGUCCACCGCUGGAGCCUGACAGCCCCGCCACCCGCGCAGGCGCCCCGCCCCGGCCCGCCCCGGCCCCGCCGCCCGCGCUCCCAUCCCCGCCCCGGCGGGUCAGAGCCGGUGCCGGGCGCCCAGGGGUUGCCGCGCCGGGCGGGAGGGCCGCGCCUGAGCGGGCGGCGGGGUCGCGGGGUUCCUGCGCGCGGCCCGCCAUGGAGGUGGAGGAGGCGUUCCAGGCGGUGGGGGAGAUGGGCAUCUACCAGAUGUACUUGUGCUUCCUGCUGGCCGUGCUGCUGCAGCUCUAUGUGGCCACGGAGGCCAUCCUCAUUGCACUGGUUGGGGCCACGCCAUCGUACCACUGGGACCUGGCAGAGCUCCUGCCAAAUCAGAGCCACGGUAACCAGUCAGCUGGUGAAGACCAGGCCUUUGGGGACUGGCUCCUGACAGCCAAUGGCAGUGAGAUCCAUAAGCAUGUGCAUUUCAGCAGCAGCUUCACCUCCAUUGCCUCAGAGUGGUUUUUAAUUGCCAACAGAUCCUACAAAGUCAGUGCAGCAAGCUCUUUUUUCUUCAGUGGUGUAUUUGUUGGAGUUAUCUCUUUUGGUCAGCUUUCAGAUCGCUUCGGAAGGAAAAAAGUCUAUCUCACAGGUUUUGCUCUUGACAUCUUAUUUGCAAUUGCAAAUGGAUUUUCCCCCUCAUAUGAGUUCUUUGCAAUAACUCGCUUCCUGGUGGGCAUGAUGAAUGGAGGGAUGUCGCUGGUGGCCUUUGUCUUGCUUAAUGAAUGUGUGGGCACCGCCUACUGGGCACUUGCAGGAUCGAUUGGCGGCCUCUUCUUUGCAGUUGGCAUUGCCCAAUAUGCCCUGUUAGGAUACUUCAUCCGCUCCUGGAGGACCCUAGCCGUUCUGGUUAACCUGCAGGGAACAGUGGUCUUUCUCUUGUCUUUAUUCAUUCCUGAAUCACCUCGUUGGUUAUACUCCCAGGGUCGACUGAGUGAGGCUGAAGAGGCGCUGUACCUCAUUGCCAAGAGGAACCGCAAGCUCAAGUGCACAUUCUCACUAACCCACCCCGCCAACAGGAGCUGCAGGGAGACUGGAAGUUUCCUGGAUCUGUUUCGUUACCGAGUCCUCUUAGGACACACUUUGAUCCUGAUGUUCAUCUGGUUUGUGUGCAGCUUGGUGUAUUAUGGCCUAACUCUGAGUGCGGGUGAUCUAGGUGGAAGUAUUUAUGCCAACCUGGCCCUGUCUGGCCUCAUAGAGAUUCCAUCGUACCCUCUCUGUAUCUACUUGAUUAACCAAAAAUGGUUUGGUCGGAAGCGAACAUUAUCAGCAUUUCUGUGCCUAGGAGGACUGGCUUGUCUUAUUGUAAUGUUUCUUCCAGAAAAAAAAGACACAGGUGUGUUUGCAGUGGUGAACAGCCAUUCCUUGUCCUUGCUGGGGAAGCUGACCAUCAGUGCUGCCUUUAACAUUGUUUAUAUCUACACCUCUGAGCUUUACCCUACAGUCAUCAGGAAUGUUGGGCUUGGAACUUGUUCCAUGUUCUCCCGAGUUGGUGGGAUUAUUGCUCCCUUCAUCCCCUCACUGGUUGAAAUAUGUGCAAUGGUCUUUACCAUUCAUUGUCUUCGGAGCCACUGGCCUGAUCUCUGGCCUCCUGAGUUUGUUGUUGCCAGAAACCGUUAACAGUCCGCUGCUAGAAACAUUCUCCGACCUUCAGGUGUAUUCGUAUCGCAGGCUGGGAGAAGAAGCAUUAUCUUUACAGGCCUUGGACCCUCCACAGUGUGUGGACAAGGAGAGUUCUUUAGGGAGCGAGAGUGAGGAAGAGGAAGAAUUUUACGAUGCAGAUGAAGAGACUCAGAUGAUCAAGUGAAGAGCCCCAGAUUCCCCCUAAGAAGCAAAGGAUCAUCUUUUAUGCCUCUGGCUAAGGCAGGUUCUUCCAUGAAUAUUAAGAGAGUUGUAAAAAGAGAGGCUUGGCUUGAACAUACAUAGAUGGUACCCGGCGUGGACUGAUGUUUUUAGGCACAGAAGUUGGAGAAGAGAUUUCGUGAGAGGCAACAUCACUGCAUUGAGAGAAUAGUUGUUAAUUUGUUUAGAAUUUAAGUUCUGCUCAGAAUCAUAACAUCUGGCAGAGCAGCCCAAACCCACAUGCCAAAGUGGUAGGCUCAUUUGUUUCUAGAGGUUUCAUAAUGUUGCUUUUCCUUCAUCAUGAUCUAAAUAAAGGCAGAUAUGUAAAACUUCUCACUAUUUUGGUGGGGUAAGAUAAGCUAUCCUUAAGAUUUAAUCUUUAUACCAUGUUGGACAUUUGCCCCUAUCAGUUGCUACUCAGGAAUCUUCUGGUACAGGUGGUUAACAUCAACAUUUUAAUUUUGUGUCCAGGAAAAAGCACCCAGAGGUCAUCUAUGUGUCCCGAGACCCUUCAGCUUUUUCUCAGCUGAUGAAAUAAGAGUCCUCAGCUUGGUUCCCAGCCUGCUGGUUGACUUGGGCUCCUCAUGCCUUGAGUCCCACAGAUGAUUCAUUAGGAAAAGCCAGAGGUACCAAAGCGGUUUAUUCAGAGUCAGGAGUGUAGCUCUGGCUGCCUGUCAGCUCCCUUGGAUACUACAGUGUGUGAUUUCUUCCUUUCCCACUAAUACGCACAUCCAGAAAAAUUUCCAUCUGAGAUUCUGGUACUUCAAAAUCAUGAAUAGUAAAUGAGAAAGCUUUAAGUAGAGGGCAGUUAAACAGUGACAUGUUGAGCACCUGGAGGGAAAAAAAAGGUGCAGUUUUUAAUAAUGGAGAAAAUGAAAUUAUCUUUGAUAAAUUUUUAUUUGUGUUGUUUUCAGUAUUGUGCCAUGAAGGAUUUGGACAAUAUUUAAGAACUUGUCCUAGAUCAGCCCCGACCUGUUUAAUCAGAAUGGAAGGUUCAGUAAUUUCACAGGAAAUGUUGGUUUUUCAUUAAGUGCUACCAACUUUCAAGUGAAUCUUACAUUUGAUUUCCUAAAAUCAUGUCUUGAAAACAUGUUUUCCCAUGAAACUUGAAUACUAUCUCAAAUAGGAAUAUAAACCUAGAGUCAACAAGCUUAGGCAGCACUGAUUUAGGUCACUUUCCCAAUGAGGAAAAUUUCUGUGUUUUCAGAAUUUCCAUUUCUACUAACCUCUUGGAGAAAAAGAAAUUGAAUUAGAGGUAAAUAGAAGACAUCACUGUGGCUGCUUCUGGAAGUGCUGGAAACAUCACCCCAAUUGGCUCCAAAUACUGUCAUGUUUUCUUGUACAUUGACUUCUGGUUUCCACUGUAUCAGUGUGUACCUUUGUAAUUGUUAUUUUUAUGUCUUUUAUGCCCUUGAUUAUUAAUUGGGCUCUUCAUAAACAGAGGCCAUCUCUACUACUGUUUAUUUUUCUCUGCUGUGCCCAGAACAUUGGCAUAGACUUAGUAAGACCUAGUAAAUAUUACUGUUUCUAGCCAUCAGAGAGAUUGUGGAACUCCUCCCAGUAUAACUUUUGCAAACUCCAGGCAAAUCUGACCCAAACUCCCAAAUUGUCAAAUCCUGCUUAACUUUCUCUGGAAAAUAAGACACCUUCUCAACAUCAGAAUAGGAAGAGAGGAAGAACUUACAAAGACAUUUAAACGUUCUUCUUAAAUGGUGGUUGGGCAUUUAAAACACUGAACUAACAUAUACAUAAUUUUUGAUUAGUUGGAGCUUUAUUUGUAUUAUAAGAGUAAUAUAUCUCAUUACAGAAAAUUUGGAAACUAGAAAUUAAAAAAUGUAUCACCCAUACGUCCAACAUCGAGAGAAAAUCAGUGUUAUGGCUUUGUUCCAUUUGAAGAUCAAUUGGGAGUGCAUCUCUCUAUUGGCACUGGGUUCGAUUGCCUCUGGCUAAUAGAGUUCAAUUAGUUCUAUCCCUGGGUUUCCUUUCUUAGCUGUGGGGUGGAAGAUAGGAGGGAGAAAUCUACAAUUUGAAUACGUGUUACUUAAUAAGGCUCGGCUGGCCAUCAGUUCCUUAUGUCAGAUAUGUCAUUAAAUUUUUUUUCUAGAUGGUCCUUGAGCAAAACUUAAUAAUUACUUUUUUUUAUUUCCACUGCCUUUAUAAAAUCAAAAUUUCCUCCUUUUGAUAAUAACUGUUGAAUACUAUUGAUGUAGAGAAUGUGUACAUGUGUAUAUUUGCAUUGAUUAAAUUAUUGGAAAACUUUUCAUUGAUAGGUAAUGUAUUUUGAUUGUGCAGGUGGUUUGUAAAAAGUAUCCUUUUUUUAUUCUAUUCAAAAUUAAAUUUUUUUCUCCUAAAAUAAAGCAAGAAAAGUAAAUGUAAGAUAUAUAAGAAACCCUAGAGUUUCCAGGGUGAAAGUUCUCAUUAGCAGCUUGUUCAAAACAUUUACAUCACACAAAUAUUUUGAAAGAAACCAUGUUGAAAUUGUCUGAGUUUGUAAGUUAUAACCACAGCCCAGUAAAACCAAUACUUGUUAUUUGGCUAUUUCCAAGCAAUGCAGAUAUUCUUUAGUAUUUAAAAAUGAGCAAAUAAACAAAAUGAGGCAAAUAAAUGAAGAAAAUGAGUUUCUGAGGCACUGCUUAAGUGACCAUAAAUCAGAAACAUAUUUUUAUGGUGGGCAAAUUGAUGAAGAUACUUUUAGUAAGUGAUUUAUAUUCAUAACAAAUACAUCUUGAAAUAAUGUCACUGCUGUAUCAGAAUUUUAAAAUAGCCUCAUGUUAGGACUUCUCCAUACAAAUUCUUUAUCAUUGGUUCUUAAAUUGGAAAAGUACCUAUAAAUGAUUACAUUUUUUAACUAAAUAAAAUGCAGAUAUUUUGGCUUCUUGUAAAUUUAAUAAAGAAUCAUAAAAC